GACGAACGCUGGCGGCGUGCCUAAUACAUGCAAGUAGAACGCUGAAGGAGGAGCUUGCUUCUCUGGAUGAGUUGCGAACGGGUGAGUAACGCGUAGGUAACCUGCCUGGUAGCGGGGGAUAACUAUUGGAAACGAUAGCUAAUACCGCAUAAGAGUAGAUGUUGCAUGACAUUUGCUUAAAAGGUGCAAUUGCAUCACUACCAGAUGGACCUGCGUUGUAUUAGCUAGUUGGUGGGGUAACGGCUCACCAAGGCGACGAUACAUAGCCGACCUGAGAGGGUGAUCGGCCACACUGGGACUGGGACACGGCCCAGACUCCUACGGGAGGCAGCAGGAGGGAAACUUCGGAAAUGGACGGAAGUCUGACCGAGCAACGCCGCGUGAGGGAAGAAGGGUUUCGGAUCGUAAAGCUCUGUUGUAAGAGAAGAACGAGUGUGAGAGUGGAAAGUUCACACUGUGACGGUAUCUUACCAGAAAGGGACGGCUAACUACGUG
rnacentral:rRNA from 1 species